CCCAACCAUAUAAUCUUGAAAAUAAAAUCAACCAUAAAGAAAAGAUAUUAAGAGACCAUGAACAGAAUAUACAAGAAAUUUGGGAUAAUAUGAAUAGGCCAAAUUUAAGAUUCAUUUGAAUAGAUGAAGGCUAUGAAGUACACAUAUCAGGAAUGCAAAAUCUAUUCAAUGAAAUAAUAGAAAAAUUUCCAAACCUUAUAAAUGGAAUGCAAAAUCAAAUACAGGAGGCGCACAGGACUCCAAAUAUACAAAAUCACAACAAAUCCACUCCAAGACACAUUAUUAUGAAAAUGCCUAAUAUACAGAAUAAGGAUAGGAUUUUAAAAGAUGCUAGAGAGCAUAGCCAAUAAAAAAAAAUAAAAGAUGCUAGAGAAAAACAACUGGUCACAUUUAGAGGUAAACAAAUCUGAAUUUUAUCUGAUUUCUCAACCCAGACCCCAAAGCAAGGAGGGGUUUGGAAUAAUAUAUACCAAGUUCUGAAAGAAAAUGAAUGUCAAGUAAGAAUAUUAUACCCAGCAAAAUUAGACUUCAGAAUUGAAGAUAAACAAAAGUUCAAAUAUUUCACAACCAGCAAUCCUGUACUAUAUAGUCAAUAAUAUAUUCAAUAAAAUAUUUCAUGAAGAAGAAAUGGAGAAUAAAAAUGAAAACCAGCAGAGGGAGUAACUACACUAGAAGAAUAGUUACUCAAAGGAUAAUUGAAUUCAACUUAAAAAGUAGAAAUAAAUCAAAAUGCCAGAAAAUAAAAAUCAUCUCAAAAAUAAAAUUGAAUGUAAAUGGUAAAAAGCCAUCAAUCAAAAGACAUAAGCAGAUUGGAUUUAAAAAGAAGACCCAACAGUAUACUGUCUUCCAGAGACUCACCUCACAGACAAAGACAUCCACAGACUUAUGGUGAAAGGAUGGGAAAAAAUAUUGCAUUCACAUGGAUACUGUAAACAAGCAGAGGUUACUUUUCUCAUACCAGAUAAAGUGGGCUUUAAGUCAAAAUUAAUCAGAAGAGACAAAGAAGGUCAUUUCAUACUGCUUAAGGGAAUUAUGCAUCAACAAGAUAUAACGAUCAUAAAUACUUACAUAAAAUAAACCCUUCUCAAUGUCAAGAAUGAAAUACACCACAAUGCAAUAAUACUGGGUGUCUUUAAAAUGCUUCUCUAAUCACUAGAUAUAUCUCCUGAACAAAAAUUUAAUAAGCAAGCUACAAAACUAAAAAAAUACAAUUAAUAAUUUAGGCCUAACAGACAUAUGUAGAAUAGUUCAUCCAUCAAUGACAGAAUACACUUUCUUUUCAGCAGCACGUGGAAUAUUUUCUAAGCUAGACCAUCUUUUAGGCCACAAAGCAACUUUUAGAAAAUACAAAAAAUAGAGAUAAUAACUGUAUUCCAUCAGAUCAUAAUGGAAUAAAAUUAUAAAUCAAUGAUAAGAUAAAAAUAGAAACAACUCUAUCACCUGGAGACUAAAUGACUUACUAUUGAAUGAUGAAUGGAUAGCAGAAGUAAUCAGAGGUGAAAUAAAUAAAUACUUAGAGGUAAAUGAGAAUAGUGAUAUGACAUGAAAAUCUCUGGGACACUAUGAAAGCAGUUCUCAGAGAUCAUACAUUACAAAAAGACCAAGUAGG
rnacentral:lncRNA from 1 species